rnacentral:rRNA from 1 species
AACGGUUACAAGAACCUCCCUCCAAGUGGUGAAUAGCCCGAAGAAAUUCGGAUUAAUACACCGUAACAUUAUAGAGUGGCAUCACUUCAUAAUUAUAGAUUUAUCGCUUAGAGAUGGCUGUGCGGCUGAUUAGGUAGUUGGCGGGGUAACGGCCCACCAAGCCUGCGAUCAGUAACUGGUGUGAGAGCACGACCAGUCACACGGGCACUGAGACACGGGCCCG